rnacentral:rRNA from 1 species
UAGUUGCCAGCAUUCGGUUGGGCACUCUAGAGGGACUGCCGGCGACAAGUCGGAGGAAGGUGGGGAUGACGUCAAAUCAUCAUGCCCUUAUGACCUGGGCUACACACGUGCUACAAUGGGCGGUACAAAGGGCUGCGAACCCGCGAGGGGGAGCGAAUCCCAAAAAGCCGCUCUCAGUUCGGAUUGCAGGCUGCAACUCGCCUGCAUGAAGCCGGAAUCGCUAGUAAUCGCGGAUCAGCAUGCCGCGGUGAAUACGUUCCCGGGCCUU